CAGUCAUGGAGCGAAUGGCCGGCCAGGGACUGGGCCCCAUGCUGUCUGGCUGCAGAGCACACAUCCUUAAUCCUCACGCGAUACAACCUCUGAUGUCUCUGAGAAGUGAAUGACUCCCCAGAGUUGGGGAGAGGAGCGUGGGAAGGCAGGGCCAAGAUUGGGAGUUCAAAAAGAAUAUUGACUGAUUAACCAAAAAAUGCACAUCAAAGCUUUAAAUAAAUAAUAAUAAGACAAACAUUGACAAUACUUUCUUUAGGGGAGUUGUUGGCAUGGUUUGGGGCUCACCCUCUUGUGGCUGCUUGUGCUACAUCUAGAUGAGGAAAAUGACUGAACUGUAAUCUUUCCAGACCUCUCCAAAAGUGAUGUCAAUCACUGAGGGAUCCCAAUCACUGAAGGAUCCCUUCAGCCGCAACAACUGGUGUGGAACUGAUUCCUGGCUCCCAGGCCUAUGAGAUAAACAUCCUCUCGAUCUUGUUUAGCAUAAACACUGACCUGAAAUUGAGUAGGCCAAUGGAAGUUGAGUCAUGACAUAUUUAUUAAGCCUAGCACUGGCUAUGACACUCAGAGGAGCAUCAAAUUAAUUCAAGACACAUUUCUUGCCCUUAAGGGCUUACAGCAUUGGUUUGGCUAGUGGACCACCCAACAUCCAUUAGGAUGGAGAAACCAAAUCUCCACUUUGGGCUCAUUGUAUUGCACAAGUGACAGGCCAGGAGAUGAAAAGGGCCUCUGUGCAUGUGGAACGCACGCGUGGCCUGCAGCCCCUCAGCCUGUGUGCAUUAACUCCCCGAGAAGCCUGGCUGCAGAGUGAAGGUAGUUGUUUGUGCAUAAACAUUGUCAUUUCAGUGGGACUGCUAUUUCAUCUUUGAACCUUGGCUUCAAAGGAACACUGACCUUAUUCCUGUAGCUUGCCUUUCUUUGAAGCGUAUGGCUUUGCAUUGCAGAUUAAAGUGAAGACAUUCAUUAAGGAACAGAUCUGGCCCACCACGCCCCAAACUCAACCUGAAACAAAGCCUUGAAAGGCUCCAAUCACAGUUGCAGCAGAGUGGGCUGAAGAUGAAGGCUCAAAGCAGGGUGCUCUUUCUUAGAUCCUAUAAGGCAGCUCUGGCAUGACGUAGUGCAUCCCUCUGAGCUCUGGACAAACUUACCCUGAGAAUCAGUCUAUCUCGGCAGAAAGGGAUCUUCAACUGUGAUCAAACAGUGUAAGUUCUGUCUGGGAUGAAGUGGUGAACCAAUCCAGAGGAAGGAAGGAAAUGAUUGUAAAGUCAGCUGGAGGAACUGAAGUUCAGAGAAGUCACUUGCUCAGGGUUGAACAGAUAAGUUAAGUCACCUGCCUAAGGCCACACAGCGAGUAAGUAGUAUCCCAUGAGUCAAAUCCAGGCAGCCACUUUCAGUUUAUGUCCUUAACCACUGCACCAUGCAGCUGCCCUAGAUUGGAUUUUCAUUUCCUUUUCACACAGACUAUGCAACAAGAGACAGAAUCGUGAAAGCCAAAAGACAAGGUUGGAAGGGAUUUACAGACCAAUCAAUCACUGCAUUUUACAUAGAGGAACAAGAUCACCUACAAGCCAUUUUCCUGAUAGUGAAAAAGACAGAUUUAUCCUGGGGAUUUUCAAACCAGUGUUCUGGGGAGCACUAGGGCUCAGGAGAAGGACCUCAGAGGCCAUCGGUAUGGAGGUAGUUCAAUCAGACCAGCCCUGUUCUAAUCUGUUUCAUGUUGUAGGCAUCUGGGUAAAAUUUGUGUGUGAAUAAAGUAUUCUGUUGCCUUAAUAAAACAGAAAAAUGAUGGAUCUCUCCAUACUUCUACAGAAAUAGUAGGCUUGGAAAGUUUCACUCAACAGUGUGCAAUGGUUUCACAUCAGCUGGGGGGGGUGGGGGCACACGGAUUGUAUAGCCCAGUGGCCAGUUCUGGGGCCAGGAUAAUUUUCUCCUUCCAUUAGGGCACUCACUACAUUACCUGGCAGCAAGAACUGCCUUAUUCAUCACCGGAUCCCCACAUACAUAGUGGAAUAGUGAUACACAGUGAUACAUAGUGAACAUAGUGAUACAUAGUCGAAACUCUGUAAACUAUAUCUGAAAGAUGGAAGGAGAGUUCCAAGAGGCUUUGAUGAAACAAUUUUUUAAAAAGAAGAUUAAGCUCAUUUGGGUUGAGCAAAGUAGCACACUUUGGCUGCGGUGACCCUAUGUCAAAGAAAUGGCUGGAAAGUUAUCAUUGUGUGUUUGUCCAUGUGUCCUCAAAUGGCCGUGGUGGAUUUGCCCUCCCCAACCCUUGGAUGGCAAAAAAUAAAUAAAAGGAUCAAAAAUAUGAA